UGGCGGCAGGCUUAACACAUGCAAGUCGAGCGGUAGCAGAUCUAGCUUGCUAGAUGCUGACGAGCGGCGGACGGGUGAGUAACGCGUAGGAACCUGCCCAGUAGUGGGGGAUAGCCCGGGGAAACUCGGAUUAAUACCGCAUACGCUCUACGGAGGAAAGAGGGGGCUUCGGCUCUCGCUAUUGGAUGGGCCCGCGUGAGAUUAGCUAGUUGGUGAGGUAAUGGCUCACCAAGGCGACGAUCUCUAGCUGGUCUGAGAGGAUGAUCAGCCACACUGGGACUGAGACACGGCCCAGACUCCUACGGGAGGCAGCAGUGAGGAAUAUUGCACAGUGGGCGCAAGCCUGAUGCAGCCAUGCCGCGUGUGUGAAGAAGGCUUUCGGGUUGUAAAGCACUUUCAGUGGGGAGGAAGGCCUCGUAGUUAAUAGCUGCGAGGAUUGACGUUACCCACAGAAGAAGCACCGGCUAACUCCGUG
rnacentral:rRNA from 1 species